rnacentral:rRNA from 1 species
AUUGAACGCUGGCGGCAGGCCUAACACAUGCAAGUCGAGCGAGCGGCGGACGGGUGAGUACUGUAUGGGGACUUCCCGAUAGAGGGGGAUCACUACUGGAAACGGUAGCUAAUACCGCAUACUAUCGGAUAACCCAUAUGGGAUUAGCUAGUAGAUGAGGUAAUGGCUCAACUAGGCUACGAUCCCUAGCUGGUCUGAGAGGAUGAUCAGCCACACUGGGACUGAGACACGGCCCAGACUCCUACGGAGGCAGCAGUGGGGAAUAUUGCACAAUGGGCGAAAGCCUGAUGCAGCCAGGCCGCGUGUAUGAAGAAGGCCCUAGGGUUGUAAAGUACUUUCAUUCGGGAGGCGUUACCGACAGAAGAAGCACCGGCUAACUCCGUGCCAGCAGCCGCGGUAAUUC